AUAUCAAUAAGCGGAGGAAAAGAAACUAACAAGGAUUCCCCUAGUAAUGGCGAGUGAAGCGGGAAUAGCUCAAAUUUGAAAUCUCAUUGGUCUCCAAUGCGUAUUGUAGUUUAAAGAAGUAUUUUCGGAGGCAAGCCAGGAUUAAGUUCCUUGGGAUAGGGCAUCAUAGAAGGUGAGAAUCCUGUAUGUGUUCUGGUGUAGCUUCUAUGUGAUAUACUUUCAAAGAGUCGGGUUGUUUGGGAAUGCAGCCCAAAAUGGGUGGUAAAUACCAUCUAAAGCUAAAUAUUGGCGAGAGACCGAUAGCGCACAAGUA
rnacentral:rRNA from 1 species